rnacentral:rRNA from 1 species
AUUUGCGAUCAUAUCUGCACUAAUGCAUCGGAUUCUAUUAGAAUUUUGUAGUUAAGUGUAUUUAGGGGAAAGUAAUAUUAGGAUGGGUGACUUUCUAGGAAGUCCAAGUUUUACACCUC